rnacentral:rRNA from 1 species
AUUGAACGCUGGCGGCAGGCCUAACACAUGCAAGUCGAGCGGAUGAAGGGAGCUUGCUCCUGGAUUCAGCGGCGGACGGGUGAGUAAUGCCUAGGAAUCUGCCUGGUAGUGGGGGAUAACGUCCGGAAACGGGCGCUAAUACCGCAUACGUCCUGAGGGAGAAAGUGGGGGAUCUUCGGACCUCACGCUAUCAGAUGAGCCUAGGUCGGAUUAGCUAGUUGGUGGGGUAAAGGCCUACCAAGGCGACGAUCCGUAACUGGUCUGAGAGGAUGAUCAGUCACACUGGAACUGAGACACGGUCCAGGCUCCUACGGGAGGCAGCAGUGGGGAAUAUUGGACAAUGGGCGAAAGCCUGAUCCAGCCAUGCCGCGUGUGUGAAGAAGGUCUUCGGAUUGUAAAGCACUUUAAGUUGGGAGGAAGGGCAGUAAGUUAAUUCCUUGCUGUUUUGACGUUACCAACAGAAUAAGCACCGGCUAACUUCGUG